ACCUGGUUGAUUCUGCCAGUAGUCAUAUGCUUGUCUCAAAGAUUAAGCCAUGCAUGUCUAAGUAUAAGCAAUUAUACAGCGAAACUGCGAAUGGCUCAUUAUAUAAGUUAUCGUUUAUUUGAUAGUACCUUACUACUUGGAUAACCGUGGUAAUUCUAGAGCUAAUACAUGCUAAAAAUCCCGACUUCGGAAGGGAUGUAUUUAUUAGAUUAAAAACCAAUGCCCUCUGGGCUCUCUGGUGAUUCAUGAUAACUUCUCGAAUCGCAUGGCCUUGCGCCGGCGAUGGUUCAUUCAAAUUUCUUCCCUAUCAACUUUCGAUGUUUGGGUAGUGGCCAAACAUGGUUGCAACGGGUAACGGAGGGUUAGGGCUCGACCCCGGAGAAGGAGCCUGAGAAACGGCUACUACAUCCAAGGAAGGCAGCAGGCGCGCAAAUUACCCAAUCCCGAUUCGGGGAGGUAGUGACAAUAAAUACUGAUACAGGGCUCUUUUGGGUCUUGUAAUUGGAAUGAGUACAAUUUAAAUCCCUUAACGAGGAACAAUUGGAGGGCAAGUCUGGUG
rnacentral:rRNA from 1 species